AGUGUCCAGAAAAGUAUAAACAAACUGGAAAACUGAGAAAACAAUAUUUGCAACAUAUGACGGUUAAAGAUGCACCUUUUAUACAUAGUUAGCUCUCAUGAAUUAAUAAGGAAAAGGGAAAAUAAGACAAAUCACUUUUAAUAAAAUAACUAUAAAUGGUCAAUGAAGCAAGGGAAAACAAUGUUCAAACUUUCUAUUGAUACAGCAAAUCAGUAAAGAUAGAAAAAAAUGAUUAUCUUAGUUACAAUUAUGGCUACUGAACAACUUCCCCUAACUAUCAGCAGCUUAAAAUAACAGACUGUUUCUCACAGUUUCUGUGAGUCAAGCAUCUGGGGUAGCUCAGGGUUGGUUCUGGCUCAAGGUUUUUUAUGAUGUUGCCUUGAAAGAUUGAACUGAAGCCAAAGGAGUCUCUUUCAAACUCAUCCCCUGCCUGCCUCUCCACUGGACUUCCAACAACACGGAUGCUUGCUUUUCUCAGCAUUAAGUGAUGAGAGAGAGAGAGAGAGAGAGAACAAGAUGGAAAUAGUCUUUUUAUAACUCAGUCUCUGAAGUGAUAGCCCAUCAUUUCUGCUAUGUUCUAUUCGUUAGAACCAAGACACUAAGUGCACCCUACUCUGAAGGGGAGAGAAUCAUUGGACACCAUUUUAGAGGCUAUCUAACGCAAUGAUCAUCUCCAACAUGGCUGGACUAUGAUGAUACAGGAGGUAAAGUGCUGCACUGCUGGAUUGCUGUUUCCUGACUGCACUUCCAAAGGCAGUAAUUCAAACAAAGGCUUCCAAGACAGCUAUAUUGAAGCAAAAAAUAAAGGAAUAGAGAAUACUUUCAUCAGCUCGACUGGUCAUGAAUGAGACAUUGCUGAAACUGAAUUUUACAAGAAAAGUUCAAGAAAUAAAGUCAAGACGGCUUUCUAUGUAGAGGAAUUGUCACAACACAUGUCAUGAAGGUGUGCAGUGAGGAAGGAACCGUAAGGACUCUGUUGGAAGGUGCAGAGGAUGAGGUCAGAGCAUCUCAGGUGGAAAGUUUUUUUUGUGUGUGUGGAAGACCAACUCAGAGCAGUCCUGUGACAAAUCAUACACUGCUUUCUCCAUCCUCACAGUUCUGUAAGCUCCUGUUCC
rnacentral:lncRNA from 1 species